UUUGGCUCUUCCCGCCCGGCCUGCGUUGUGCGCCUGCGCAGCCGCCGCAAACCCGCGUUGCUCAGCGAUGGAGUUUGGGGUUCGGCCUCCUUCGGCUGGACUCGGGCAUUUCCGUUCAUGGAGAUGACGCUUCGGCGGCCUUGCAGGUCACUUCCGGCGACUUUCGCGGGGCCGGGCAGGAAGCGGAGUUAGUCGCCAUCUUUGAGUGGGGCAGACGUGGGCCGCUUUUGCUCGCGGUCACUUCAUCUUAAGUUGUAUAUAUGUGCAGAGCGCGGCGCGGGUGGUCACCUCCGCUGCUGCCGCCACCCGCCCGGCCUGCCUUUGACCCUAUGGGUCACAGACAAGGCAGGGUGAUCGCGGCAAGACCCUGAGUGAGACUAGAUGCGUUACCCAGAGGGUGCGAGGUCGAGUACCUUCCCUGUCCCAUCGCAAACCCAAAGAUCCCCGUUCCUGGAGAUUCUGAUUGAGGUAAACUAACAAAACAUGUAUUGUGCCAGAGAGUGGUAAGCACUGUGGAGGGUUACAGUGGUGUAGGGGAAGACCUGUCGGGGUGGACACUUGGGGAACGCGACGUGGGGGCGGAAUCGGGCCGCUAUUGGCGUGGGCCUCAAGUUCCAGCGGACACGCACUGCAGCCUCUGCGCUUCCCCCACUAUCUGGAAAAGGGGAUGGAGGCGGGGGUCAGCUUCCCAUCCAAUCACAGCUCAGCGUGCCUCGGAGGGCGGGAGGAAACGGAACUCUGCCGGUCAGCGACUUCCGGCCGUCACCACGGAAACUGCCAGCCCCGUGAGCGCAUGGUGUGGCACUUGCCUGCGGAGGGGCCCAGGCGCCACUCCUCUGAUUCUGCAGAUGCUCCCCCAGGAGUGGCUUCUGGCCAAGGCCAAGCCCCUUCUUUGAAACUGCCUUUCAGCCUGUGUUACCUGCACCCAAGUCACCCACUGGAGGGUUGGGGGAGAGGGGCUGUGUGAAGGACCUGGACAAUGGGAUGGAAGGGGAAGAUGGCUAGGGCAAAACAGGCAAUGGCACUGGGUCCUGGAGACGCUGCCCUGAAGCCUGCAGUAUGCUGAACUUAUGCUCUCAGCAUCUGUCCACUUUCACCUAAGCUGCGUUUCCACUGGUUUGCUGCUGAAUCUACUCCUGACUGAAACCUUCCAAUGUGCAUGGGGCCAGGGUGGGAGAAGCCUUCAGCUCUAGCGAUGGGAAUGAUCACCACAGGGCAGGGAAACUGGCCCAGGGCCUGCAGCCUUUGCUUCUCAGACUGGCUGGGGUUCCAUCUGCAGGGUCCUACACCCUCAUCACCUGCUGCUUGUGAACACGAGAACAGGAAAGUCUUGAAAAAUCUGAAUUUCCAGGUGAAAUCUUCUAGUUUUAAAACUAGGAAAUGGUUUCCUAGGUGUAAAGGAGUUUUACAAAGACAUCCUGAGGCAGAAUCUGGAUCACCAGGUGUCAGUUUGCUCCUGCUGGAUCGCAUAAUCUUGGUUGGCUAGGGAGAUUCUGGCCUGUCUGGGUCCUUUCCUGGGGUUUGGCUUGGCCCAUGGCCCAGGGGACAGCCGUGACAGGGU
rnacentral:lncRNA from 1 species